GAUGAACGCUAGCGGGAGGCUUAACACAUGCAAGUCGAGGGGUAUUGUAGCAAUACAUUAGACCGGCGCACGGGUGAGUAACGCGUAUGCAACCUGCCGUUAACCGGGGGAUAGCCCGUCGAAAGGCGGAUUAAUACCCCAUAAUAUUGGGAUUCUGCAUGGGAUUUCAAUUAAAGCUGAGGUGGUUAACGAUGGGCACGCGUGACAUUAGCUAGUUGGUAGGGUAACGGCCUACCAAGGCUACGAUGUUUAGGGGUUCUGAGAGGAAGGUCCCCCACACUGGUACUGAGACACGGACCAGACUCCUACGGGAGGCAGCAGUGAGGAAUAUUGGUCAAUGGGCGAGAGCCUGAACCAGCCAUCCCGCGUGCAGGAAGACGGCCCUAUGGGUUGUAAACUGCUUUUGCGCAUGAAGAAUGUUACCGACGUGUCGGUAAGUGACGGUAAUGCGUGAAUAAGCAUCGGCUAACUCCGUGCCAGCCGCCGCAGUAAAAC
rnacentral:rRNA from 1 species